rnacentral:rRNA from 1 species
UACGUAGGAUCCGAGCGUUGUCCGGAUUUACUGGGUGUAAAGGGUGCGCAGGCGGACUGGUGAGUCAGUGGUGAAAUCUCGUCGCUUAACGACGAAACUGCCUUUGAUACUAUCAGUCUUGAAUCCGGUAGAGAUCUGUGGAAUUCCGAGUGUAGCAGUGAAAUGUGUAGAUAUUCGGAAGAACACCAGUGGCGAAGGCAGCAGAGUGGGCCGGUACUGACGCUCAGGCACGAAAGCAUGGGGAGCAAACAGG